rnacentral:rRNA from 1 species
AUUGAACGCUGGCGGCAUGCUUUACACAUGCAAGUCGAACGGUAACAGGCCUUCGGGUGCUGACGAGUGGCGAACGGGUGAGUAAUGCAUCGGAACGUACCCAGAGGUGGGGGAUAACGCAGCGAAAGCUGUGCUAAUACUGCAUGUGAUCUGAGGAUGAAAGCGGGGGACCGAGCAGCAAUGUUUGGCCUCGCGCCUUUGGAGCGGCCGAUGUCGGAUUAGCUAGUUGGUGGGGUAAAGGCCUACCAAGGCGACGAUCCGUAGCUGGUCUGAGAGGACGACUAGCCACACUGGGACUGAGACACGGCCCAGACUCCUACGGGAGGCAGCAGUGGGGAAUUUUGGACAAUGGGCGCAAGCCUGAUCCAGCAAUGCCGCGUGCGGGAAGAAGGCCUUCGGGUUGUAAACCGCUUUUGGCAGGAACGAAACGGUGUCCGCUAAUACCGGGCGCUAAUGACGGUACCUGCAGAAUAAGCACCGGCUAACUACGUG